rnacentral:rRNA from 1 species
CCUACGGGGGGCAGCAGUGAGGAAUAUUGGUCAAUGGGCUUACGCCUGAACCAGCCAAGUCGCGUGAGGGAAGACUGCCCUAUGGGUUGUAAACCUCUUUUGUCAGGGAGCAACGCCGGCUACGUGUAGCCGUACUUAGAGUACCUGCAGAAAAAGCAUCGGCUAACUCCGUGCCAGCAGCCGCGGUAAUACGGAGGAUGCGAGCGUUAUCCGGAUUUAUUGGGUUUAAGGGGUGCGUAGGCGGACUGUCAAGUCAGCGGUAAAAUCGCGGGGCUCAACCUCGCUCCGCCGUUGAAACUGGCGGUCUGGAGUGGGCGAGAAGUAUGCGGAAUGCGUGGUGUAGCGGUGAAAUGCAUAGAUAUCACGCAGAACUCCGAUUGCGAAGGCAGCAUACCGGCGCCCAACUGACGCUGAAGCACGAAAGCGUGGGUAUCGAACAGGAUUAGAUACCCGUGUAGUC